UGGGCAACCUGCCCCAGACUCAGGGAUAACCCCGGAAAACCGGGGCUAAUACCCGAUACUCCGGUCGAAUCACAUGGCUCGAUCGGGAAAGCUCCGACGGUCUGGGAUGGGCCCGCGGCCUAUCAGCUUGUUGGUGGGUAACGGCCUACCAAGGCGACAACGGGUAGCCGGCCUGAGAGGGUGACCGGCCACACUGGGACUGAGACACGGCCCAGACUCCUACGGGAG
rnacentral:rRNA from 1 species